GACAUCGAAGCGGACAUCCCGGUCCUCCCAAAGCGCGUCCAGCACCGACAUGGUGACCGAGGCCCAACGCGGGCACUCUUCACAGCGGUGGAGGCCGAGUGGCGUCUCAUUGGCUCCCAGGCAACGGACCGCGUCUGUCACGACGUCUACGGCGGGCGCCGAGAUCCAAGCUUCCUCAGGAUUUGUUGAAAUAGGAGCCAAGUUAUGAGAAAGCCACAUGGCUAGGAACUGAGGGCAACCUCUAGGAGCUGAGAGAGCCAGCAAGAAAACAAACUGCAGCCAUCUAAUUAUGAGGAACCUAAUUCUGCCAACCCAAAUGAGCCUGGAAGAGAAGCCCAAGCCUCAGAUAGGAUCACGUCUUGCUGACACCUUGAUUUCAGGGUUAGACCAAAAUUUUUCUGAACAUGACCUGUGACAAGUAAAGAACAGAGUGGAAGAAUGGGGAAGCUAAGAGGACUCAGCUGUCAGACUUCCUGAGCAGCAGGACACAUGUGGAGGAUGUUCCAAUUUCCCAGUCUUCCAGCUCCAGAAGCAACUUCUGUUGCCAGUUUCUUGUGUAGGUUUCCAGAGAUACCCUGUAUGCAUGUAUAUCUCCUUUUAAAAAAC